AUUAUCUUAGUAUAAAUAGUACAAUUAUUUUCCACAUAAGAGGUUUUAACAAGUUAAAGAUAAUA
rnacentral:tRNA from 1 species